rnacentral:rRNA from 1 species
GAUGAACGCUGGCGGCGUGCCUAAUACAUGCAAGUCGAGCGAACGGACGAGAAGCUUGCUUCUCUGAUGUUAGCGGCGGACGGGUGAGUAACACGUGGAUAACCUACCUAUAAGACUGGGAUAACUUCGGGAAACCGGAGCUAAUACCGGAUAAUAUUUUGAACCGCAUGGUUCAAAAGUGAAAGACGGUCUUGCUGUCACUUAUAGAUGGAUCCGCGCUGCAUUAGCUAGUUGGUAAGGUAACGGCUUACCAAGGCAACGAUGCAUAGCCGACCUGAGAGGGUGAUCGGCCACACUGGAACUGAGACACGGUCCAGACUCCUACGGGAGGCAGCAGUAGGGAAUCUUCCGCAAUGGGCGAAAGCCUGACGGAGCAACGCCGCGUGAGUGAUGAAGGUCUUCGGAUCGUAAAACUCUGUUAUUAGGGAAGAACAUAUGUGUAAGUAACUGUGCACAUCUUGACGGUACCUAAUCAGAAAGCCACGGCUAACUACGUGCCAGCAGCCGCGGUAAUACGUAAGUGGCAAGCGUUAUCCGGAAUUAUUGGGCGUAAAGCGCGCGUAGGCGGUUUUUUAAGUCUGAUGUGAAAGCCCACGGCUCAACCGUGGAGGGUCAUUGGAAACUGGAAAACUUGAGUGCAGAAGAGGAAAGUGGAAUUCCAUGUGUAGCGGUGAAAUGCGCAGAGAUAUGGAGGAACACCAGUGGCGAAGGCGACUUUCUGGUCUGUAACUGACGCUGAUGUGCGAAAGCGUGGGGAUCAAACAGGAUUAGAUACCCUGGUAGUCCACGCCGUAAACGAUGAGUGCUAAGUGUUAGGGGGUUUCCGCCCCUUAGUGCUGCAGCUAACGCAUUAAGCACUCCGCCUGGGGAGUACGACCGCAAGGUUGAAACUCAAAGGAAUUGACGGGGACCCGCACAAGCGGUGGAGCAUGUGGUUUAAUUCGAAGCAACGCGAAGAACCUUACCAAAUCUUGACAUCCUUUGACAACUCUAGAGAUAGAGCUUUCCCCUUCGGGGGACAAAGUGACAGGUGGUGCAUGGUUGUCGUCAGCUCGUGUCGUGAGAUGUUGGGUUAAGUCCCGCAACGAGCGCAACCCUUAAGCUUAGUUGCCAUCAUUAAGUUGGGCACUCUAAGUUGACUGCCGGUGACAAACCGGAGGAAGGUGGGGAUGACGUCAAAUCAUCAUGCCCCUUAUGAUUUGGGCUACACACGUGCUACAAUGGACAAUACAAAGGGCAGCGAAACCGCGAGGUCAAGCAAAUCCCAUAAAGUUGUUCUCAGUUCGGAUUGUAGUCUGCAACUCGACUACAUGAAGCUGGAAUCGCUAGUAAUCGUAGAUCAGCAUGCUACGGUGAAUACGUUCCCGGGUCU